GACGAACGCUGGCGGCGUGCCUAAUACAUGCAAGUAGAACGCACAGUUUAUACCGUAGCUUGCUCCACCAUAGACUGUGAGUUGCGAACGGGUGAGUAACGCGUAGGUAACCUGCCUGGUAGCGGGGGAUAACUAUUGGAAACGAUAGCUAAUACCGCAUAAUAUUAAUUAUUGCAUGAUAAUUGAUUGAAAGAUGCAACUGCAUCACUACCAGAUGGACCUGCGUUGUAUUAGCUAGUAGGUGAGGUAACGGCUCACCUAGGCGACGAUACAUAGCCGACCUGAGAGGGUGAUCGGCCACACUGGGACUGAGACACGGCCCAGACUCCUACGGGAGGCAGCAGUAGGGAAUCUUCGGCAAUGGACGAAAGUCUGACCGAGCAACGCCGCGUGAGUGAAGAAGGGUGUCGGAUCGUAAAGCUCUGUUGUAAGAGAAGAACGGGUGUGAGAGUGGAAAGUUCACACUGUGACGGUAUCUUACCAGAAAGGGACGGCUAACUACGUG
rnacentral:rRNA from 1 species